rnacentral:lncRNA from 1 species
AGUGCCUAAGUGUACCUGGCAAACAUUUCACAGCAAAUGUUUCACUUGAAGGGUUCUCCUUGUCCUGUAUCUUUUUGUCUACUUCUUGUUCUUCACAAAAGGCAUUGUUGGCCUUGCCUCCCAAGCUCUGAAGUACACCACGUUCUGGCAUUAGCAAUUCUGCUGCCUUGGGCAGGCAACAGAAGAGAUGCCCUAGAAUCAAUUUAUCAAGGCAAAUGCUGUGGGGGUGGGGGCAGCCUUGGAGAGAGAACUUUAACCUCAGUCCACAGGGCCCUGAGCAGCAGAGAGACCUGGGCACACCAAACUGUGUGUGGGAAACAGAAACUCCAGGAUCCUCUAAGGCCCCUGUUGGAAGGACACCACCAAAGGAAGGAGCAGAGGAGGAAACUGAGACCCAAGGAGAGGAACAGAUUUCCUGAAGGUCACACAAGCAGUAAGUAGCAGAAAGGGGCCUCAGGGUCCAUACAAUCAUGUCCGUCAUAAUUUUACGGCGCUCAAACAUUUUCCAAGGGCUGUCAUCCCAUCUCCCCUAUAAGGCUGGCUGCCCAGUUGUCCUUUCCCUGGAAGAGGAAGCAAUAUUUCUGGCCUCUCUGGGAAGCACAGCCUCAGACACUAGGGGCCCUGAUGAGAAGAAAAAGGACAGUUAAAAGAGGGAGAAGAAAUGCGGAAAAGCAAAGCAAAGCAAAAAGUCUGAGUUUCUAGGAAGUUGAUACCAUAACGUUCAUGGAAAUGUUGUUGCUUUGGUAGUGGAGAAGAAUGGUAAAUAUGUAAAUACCUUUUUAUGAUAAAUAGAAUCUCGUGGGAAUAAAAUGAGAUAAUAGAUAGGAAAGUGCUUUGCC